rnacentral:rRNA from 1 species
CCUACGGGGGACUGCAGUGAGGAAUAUUGGUCAAUGGGCGCGAGCCUGAACCAGCCAAGUAGCGUGAAGGAUGACUGCCCUACGGGUUGUAAACUUCUUUUAUAAAGGAAUAAAGUGAGGCACGUGUGCCUUUUUGUAUGUACUUUAUGAAUAAGGAUCGGCUAACUCCGUGCCAGCAGCCGCGGUAAUACGGAGGAUCCGAGCGUUAUCCGGAUUUAGUGGGUUUAAAGGGAGCGUAGAUGGGUUGUUAAGUCAGUUGUGAAAGUUUGCGGCUCAACCGUAAAAUUGCAAUUGCUACUGGCAGCCUGGAGUACAGUGGAAGUAGGAGGAAUUGGUGGUGUAGCG